AUUGAACGCUGGCGGCGUGCUUUACACAUGCAAGUCGAACGGUAACAGGCCGCAAGGUGCUGACGAGUGGCGAACGGGUGAGUAAUGCAUCGGAACGUGCCCAGUCGUGGGGGAUAACGCAGCGAAAGCUGCGCUAAUACCGCAUACGAUCUAUGGAUGAAAGCGGGGGACCGUAAGGCCUCGCGCGAUUGGAGCGGCCGAUGUCAGAUUAGGUAGUUGGUGGGGUAAAGGCUAACCAAGCCAACGAUCUGUAGCUGGUCUGAGAGGACGACCAGCCACACUGGGACUGAGACACGGCCCAGACUCCUACGGGAGGCAGCAGUGGGGAAUUUUGGACAAUGGGCGCAAGCCUGAUCCAGCAAUGCCGCGUGCAGGAAGAAGGCCUUCGGGUUGUAAACUGCUUUUGUACGGAACGAAACGGUCCUGGUUAAUACCCGGGGCUAAUGACGGUACCGUAAGAAUAAGCACCGGCUAACUACGUGCCAGCCGCCGCCGUAACAC
rnacentral:rRNA from 1 species